GACGAACGCUGGCGGCGUGCUUAACACAUGCAAGUCGAACGGAAAGGCCCUGCUUUUGUGGGGUGCUCGAGUGGCGAACGGGUGAGUAACACGUGAGUAACCUGCCCUUGACUUUGGGAUAACUUCAGGAAACUGGGGCUAAUACCGGAUAGGAGCUCCUGCUGCAUGGUGGGGGUUGGAAAGUUUCGGCGGUUGGGGAUGGACUCGCGGCUUAUCAGCUUGUUGGUGGGGUAGUGGCUUACCAAGGCUUUGACGGGUAGCCGGCCUGAGAGGGUGACCGGCCACAUUGGGACUGAGAUACGGCGCAGACUCCAACGGGGGGCAGCAGUGGGGAAUAUUGCACAGUGGGCGGAAGCCUGAUGCAGCAACCCCGCGUGCGGGAUGACGGCCUUCGGGUUGUAAACCGCUUUCGCCUGUGACGAAGCGUGAGUGACGGUAAUGGGUAAAGAAGCACCGGCUAACUACGUG
rnacentral:rRNA from 1 species